ensembl:lncRNA
CAGCAGCACGCAGCCCCAGCCCUCCUUCUCAGCAUCCCAUUGGUGCAGGUGACACGGAAACACUUGCAAAACCCCUUUUCCCUCCGCAAAAGGGGAGAGAAAAAAAAAAAAAAGCCCCAAACUUGCUUUGCUGCUGUUUACAAUUCCCACCUGAGAAGAGACAGCGCCGCAUGUUUGCUGCCAUGGCGUUGUGCCCCAAGCAGGGACAGCAGCUGCGGACGGAGCCGGGUCGUGCUCUGCGAGGCGGGCGCUUCCCCCAGGUACUGCCGGAGUGACACCUAUCUUACAUGAGGAAUGGGCUCGUAUGAAUUCCAGCUCAUUUGUUCCAGGCAAUUUAUCCGGCCCAGCGUUGCCUUGUUUGACUCCCUACAAUGAAGAUCAACAGCUUCAAGAGAAGUUCUUGUGACUGGGCAGGACACAACAGUCUCCUGACAUCAACGUGCAAGUCCUGACGUCACCAGCAGAGCUGGAGAAAGGUCCAGAGCAGGAUGAUCAAACAGUGAGUCCGUAGGAGGAGGACCUCAGCCUGGAAACCAAGCAGCUAGAGAGGCACAUCUGGCCUCAAAAAGGUGAACCAAGUUUGAUUGCUCACUACGUCUCCCAAUAAAAGAAUUAGGAGAUACCCAAUGACAUUAAGAGGCAGCAGAUUCAAAAGGAGCAAGAGAAAAUGGCUCUUCACAUGCUAUGUGGUUAAACAGUGGAAGUCCUCACCACAGCUCUCAGGGGACGAUUAAAGCUUCUGCAUUUACAAAAAAAAUCAACCAGACAAAUUUCAUGGGGAAUCCAGGGAGGGGUAUUAAAGGCAAAAUGCUGCCUGGUUGGGGAAGUCCCUGAGCUGCCACGUGCUUGGGGCUGGGAGCGUGCACAAGAGGCACAGCCCUGCCCAGAUCUGCGGUGGGGACAUCCUCUACCAUUCCUUGCAUGGAAUGGAGACAGCAGGUGACAUCUCCAAGCCAGACCCUACAAUCCCAGCAGCCUGCUGUGUCUCCAAGCCCCACCUCGGGAGGUGCCAAACCCACGCGAGUUGCAAAGUCCAUAAGCAGUGGGACCACUCAGUGCUGUCAGUGUGCUGCUCCCAGGACCCUGGCAGGAGCCAGGCUGGGUGCACAGCUCCAGUCCUCGGGACAGCGGCUGCAUGCGUCCCCGCGAGCAGCAUCCCUCACACAGGCAGGCGCACAGAGUCCAUGCACGUAGCAAUCCCAAUUAAACCCAACUACAUCGCAAAGGGCCCUGGCAGUGCUGCAUUUAUCAGGCUGCCUGGAAGGGGCUUGUGCAAGCUGUCCCCCCGGCUGACGGAUUAGACAGCAGACAAUUAGGUUUCAGACACACACACACACACACACACACACACGCAAGCACACGCACGCACACAAAUCCUUUUCUCCAUCCAUCUGCAAGGCCAAGGCGGCUGAGCACAGCUGUGCGGCUGUCCAGUGCUUCUGAAGCUGCGUGCAGCUGAAUAAGAAAAAGCCCCCGCGCCUCGGCUUUCAGCGGCUGCUUGCAAAAUGAGCGAGAGGUCCCCAAAGAGAUGACACAAUUGCAAUGGAAAUGAUUAACCCUUCGCAGGUUGGUUUUGUUGCUCCGUACCGCGGCAGCCAAGCCUGGCCACGAACUCCCACUCGUUGGGUUUCAAGGACAAAGCCACAGCAACUCAGUGCUCAGCCAGCUAAACUGUGGCAGGGACGAGCAUGCUCCCGCGUCCGUGUUUCAUGGCAGCAAUCUGGGAUUUUGGGGAUCAUUUUAGACAUCUCCCUGCCAGGGUAUUCCCAGCUCCUCUAAGCAGGGAUGCUCUCUCCACACACGCAUCGCUUCUGCAAACAUCCCACCUAAAGCAUCCCCUCCUGGUGCCUGAGAGCAGACACCACGGUUGCUACACCCGAAUCCCAGCCAGCUUCGCUCCUCUGAUUGCCCCUUUCGAGGGCUGCUCGGAACAAUAAUUCAAUACCAGAAAAAUUAAUUGCGACAUUAAAUGGCUGCGAUGGAAAAGGAAGAAACUGGGGGGCUUCUGAAAGGCGAAGCGUGCACGCCUGCUCCGGGAGAUCUCCGAUGGAAUCAACAAAACAACGGAUAUAAGGAAAAAAAAAUCAGUAGAUAUAAUUUGUUAGGAUUGCCCUAAAGCCUGUGAUAAAAUCCCACAUGCUACUGAGGAAGCCAGGAAUUACUGGGCAACACGUAAAAUGCUGCCGGGAGCAGGAAGCAGCAAAGUGCCAGCAUGCAGCAGCACAGGGGCAAUGCCCCUCUCUGUGGGCAGGACAGGAAAGCUAGAGGUGUGACCUUGCUCCACAUGCAGCUUCCCACAGACAGGGGUCUGCCUGUCGUGCCAUGCAAGCAGGGAUGAGAGGGCAGUCAGCAGCUCCAUCCCUCCAUCACUCACAUGUACUUGAGUUUGAUAAGCCGAACGUGACACCAAGACUGCGUCAGUCCUUGGCCUCAGCCCUUGCACUCACAACCCUUGAUCUCUCCUUCCAAGCCAUCUUUCAGCUGUAUGUCUGGAAAGAGCCCAAGGAGAGAAGCCUCCCAUCUCACGUUUGGUGUGGGACACACGGGGGGAGAGGAUCCUCGCCAAUGAUGCUCAGCUUCCUGGAAACUACACCACGGUCUCAUUUUUCUUGCCAUUUUUGAAGAUCGCAUCACAAGAUCCCAUCCCAGCGCGUGUGAUCUUGCAGAGCCAACUCCAAGAUGACAAACACUCAGGUAGAAACGGCCACAUAGGCAACUCAGCCCAUUCCUCAAAUCAAUGAGAAUUUUUUUGAGGUUUCCUUUCGCUAAAUAUAGAUGUGAGCCCUAGCAUUACAAGAUAUAUCAUCCACUAUGGUAAGAAGAAACUCUCCAGAUGCAUCAGAGAACGCCUACAUGUUUGCCAAGGAAGAUUGCUGCGCUCUCCAAGCUCUGUUUAUUAUUAGUAGCAUAAGACUGGACACAAGGAUGGCUCUGACCUCCCAGAGCGCCUUGCACAUGAAUUUAGGACUGAGUGGAGGCUGCAGCAUUCAUCAUCUGCGAGCAGCCAGUUCCACCCCAUGUGUGAGCUCCUCCAUCUCCAAAGCCAUUGCAUUUCUCACCUGUUCCAAUGGGUCCACCCCAGAGCAUCAUCCCUCUCCUCCCUCAGCUCCACUGUUCUCCCCCUAAGCAUAUUCACGGGCAGUUUAAAGUCAUUUGAUUGCAUGCCAACAAUAUCUGCCAGUGGAACAGCUCAUCUCCCACCCCAGUGCUCCAUUUCCCAUGGUCUAUCUGCUUUGCAAAGCGGAGUUUGAAGAGUCUCAGGAGAUGGGCCAUUCACUGCACCUCCUUGGGGACUCAGCCAUCAUAUCUUGUAUCAAUCCAUAAACCACCCCUUCAGAUUUAUCAAGGUCCUAUAGUUUUCCUUCUGCAGCCCUAAGCAUGGUAUCAGAGAGAAUUUCCUGUUAACUACACAACGCUUUCCUCUCCUUGUUUUAUCCCAUUAUCCAUCGUUACAUCUCCUGGACCACUCUAAAUAAUUACUCAGCUGUGUGUUUAUGACCUUCAGAUAUUUGUCCAUCCUUGGUUUAAGUGAACUCUUAUUCAAGCCACCCUUAACAUUUAGACUGCACAGAGAAAUGCUUAUGUACAGAGACCUUCCAGGAUGGGGAAGAGAGAAAGUAACAGCUUCCCAGGCUCUGUUGUACAGGCUGGGAAACUGAGGCAUAAGGAGACAGCCACAGAUUGAUC